AUGCAAAACCCCAGCAGGCGGCCCACUGUCUCUCUCGCUGGACCCCCUGCUUGUUCCGGGAUCCAAGGUUGGGCUGACCUCCCAGAUGAGUUGCUUCAUCUCAUCGUUGCUCGGUUGGGCUCCUUUCAAGACAUUCUUGGCUUCGCCGCAACAUGCCCCUCUUGGCGUACUGCCUCCUCUUCAUACCCAUCGAAAUCUACAUUCCGCACAAAAUUCCCACCUCUCCUCAUCCAGCCCCGUGUCCGUCAUGAACAAGAUCCUCUUCUUCCUUCUACUGAUGGUUGCCGUGAGCUACUCAAAUGUAAGGUUAUUGAUCCAGCCAACCCGAACGCCGCCCUUCACUGCCAGAUUCCUCAAGAAACCCUGGAGAAUAUGAAAUGUAUCGGCUCUUCCUAUGGUAAUAUCAUCUACUACCGCGAAGGAUAUUGUCGCAUCGUCGAUGUCUUCACUGGAAUGGAGGUUUCAGCUCCAUGUCUCCCACCCAGUGCCAAGUGUUCGAUAUACCGCUGUAAUGGCAUUCUAACAGCCCCUGUCACAUCACCCAACUCACAUCUCAUUGUCAGUACCAGCACCUACCACAAGUCCUACUUAUUUGAUUGGCGUGUUGGAAGCGACUCUUGGUCCCAAGCCCAGCUUCCUUAUAUGUAUACGGACCAGAUUGUGGAAUUCAAUGGUCAGCUCAUUCUCUCGGAUGGCAAUGGGUGGUUCCACUCUGUGCAGGUGGCCCCUCAGCUUGGUCUGCAGGAGAUAACAACCGACAAGGAUGACUGGAGUCAGGAACAUCGUGCGCUGGUGGUUUGCGGUGACAUGCUUAUCCCGUUGACCGUUUUUACGCUCUACCGCCUCGACGUGUCAACCGAGCCCGCGACAAUGCUGCCCAUGGAGAAGCUGGAUGAUUGGGCACUCUUUCUGGGGGCAGAACCAAACGGCAUGCCACUUUCGUGCAUGAGCCCGGAAAAAUGGGGAGGGAGGAGCAACACCUCGUACUGUGCCGGCUAUGGCUCUCAGCCUUGUACUUUCCACGGACUGCAUGAGGAGCCGGAUCCUGUGUUGGACACGCCGCCCGUUGACUGCUGGUACGGCGAACAGCACCCCGUGCAGUUAGCUCUGCCACUCUGGCUGUACCCAAGCAUGUUCUACUAUGGUGCCGGAGAGUGA
rnacentral:rRNA from 1 species